AACGAACGCAGGCGGCAUGCCUAACACAUGCAAGUCGAACGAGACCUUCGGGUCUAGUGGCGCACGGGUGCGUAACGCGUGGGAACCUGCCCUUAGGUUCGGAAUAACUCCCCGAAAGGGGUGCUAAUACCGGAUAAUGUCUUCGGACCAAAGAUUUAUCGCCUUUGGAUGGGCCCGCGUUGGAUUAGCUAGUUGGUAGGGUAAAAGCCUACCAAGGCGACGAUCCAUAGCUGGUCUGAGAGGAUGAUCAGCCACACUGGGACUGAGACACGGCCCAGACUCCUACGGGAGGCAGCAGUGGGGAAUAUUGGACAAUGGGCGAAAGCCUGAUCCAGCAAUGCCGCGUGAGUGAUGAAGGCCUUAGGGUUGUAAAGCUCUUUUACCCGGGAUGAUAAUGACAGUACCGGGAGAAUAAGCUCCGGCUAACUCCGUG
rnacentral:rRNA from 1 species